UACGAAGGGUGCAAACGUUGCUCGGAAUUAUUGGGCGUAAAGCGCACGUAGGCGGCUUAGCAAGUCGGACGUGAAAUCCCACGGCUCAACCAUGGAAGUGCUUUCGAAACUGCUGAGCUUGAGUACGAAAGAGGAUCGCGGAAUUCCCGGUGUAGAGGUGAAAUUCGUAGAGAUCCGGAGGAACACCAGUGGCGAAGGCGACACGCUGGGCCGUACCUGACACUGAGGCGCGAUAGCAUGGGGAGCAAACAGG
rnacentral:rRNA from 1 species